rnacentral:rRNA from 1 species
AACGAACGCUGGCGGCAUGCCUAACACAUGCAAGUCGAACGAGACCUUCGGGCUUAGUGGCGCACGGCGACUUACGGCCUGGUAACUAGCACUUGGGUUCGCUAUACCUCCCCUUGGGGUAAGCUAAUACCGCUGAGUGUCUUCGCGGCUAGGAGUUAUCGCGUUGGGGUGGGGCCGGGUUAGAUUCGCCGGUUGGUAGGGUAAAAGCAUACCAACGCGACGAUGCAUGGCUGGUCUGUUAGGAGGAUCAGGCAGACUGGGACUGAGACACGGCCCAGACUCCUACGGGAGGCAGCAGUGGAGAAUAUUGGGCGAUGGGCGAUGGCCUGAUCCAGCAAUGCCGCGGGAGUGAUGAAGGCCUUAGGAUUGUAAAGCUCUUUUAGCCGAGAUGAUAAUGACAGUACCGGGAGAAUAAGCACCGGCUAACUCCGUG